UACAGAGGGGGGCAAGCGUUAUUCGGAAUUAUUGGGCGUAAAGGGCGCGUAGGCGGCAUGGCAAGUGGAUGGUGAAAUCCCUCGGCUUAACCGAGGAACUGCCGUCCAAACUGCUUCGCUUGAGACCGGGAGAGGUGAGUGGAAUUCCCAGUGUAGCGGUGAAAUGCGUAGAUAUUGGGAGGAACACCAGUGGCGAAGGCGGCUCACUGGACCGGUACUGACGCUGAUGCGCGAAAGCGUGGGGGAGCAAACGGGG
rnacentral:rRNA from 1 species